AUAUCUCUAGGAUGUUUGCCAGCGGGUCAGUCCCCUGAGCCGAUAUUGAAUAUAAAAAAAAUAUGGUGUUCUUAACUCGUGAGCAUGCUUGGCUCGCCAGGAAGCCUAAAGGUUAUGACGCUAUAUUCACCUUGAACCAAGGGUUCAAGGGCCAAAGCUCGCAGCGGCAUCUUGGAGACCCC
rnacentral:other from 1 species